UUGUGGACAUCGGAACGUACCGAGCGAGGAUCGGGUGUUUUACGGCCAGGUCUGGGUCUAUUUUAGACCUAGACACACUUCGGGUGGUUGGCGUUUUCGCCUUUAUUGGAAUUCUCCUCUUUAUGGCUGGCGUCGAGCUCAAUCCGGGACCGUUUCAGGUGGUCCGGCUGUGUCCAAUGUUGCUUGCCAAGGUUUUAAACAUGCGUUAAGGGCGAUGCUGAUCUUCUAAAAUGUUAAACCAAGGUCCUGGUGUCGUUUAGGGGGCUCCAUCAAGCAAUCACUCCAAUGGUGGAUUCAGGACACCCUUUAUGACCAAGGACCUGGGUCUUGCUCAAAACGCAGUAAUGGCAGUGAAGUGACUGACACCAUAUGGGUCUCUUUCUCAUCAGAUUUACCGCAUCAUGACUAAUCACGGUUUUGGUGGAAAAGACUUCUCGUCUGCUUUUAAAUUAUUGCUCGAUUAGAACAAGCAAAAGACAUGAUAAAUAACAUCAUUAUGUACUAUUAUUAUUUCCUAAAUGUAUAUACUAAAAAUCAUGUAAAUACAUGAAUGAACGUUUAUUAGAAAACUAUUGUGAAUGAUUCAUGAAAUUUGAAAAAUGAUUUUAAAAUGAAUUUGAUUUAUAGAUUAUACAAGAUUUUUUACACUUGAGGUAAUGAUUUUGUAAAAAAAAAACAACAACAACCUUUGCUUAGAUGUAACUUUAAAUAUAAUUGUUGAUAUUUACCUGGUGGAAUAUGUUUUUAUGCCCCCGGUAGGGUGGCAUAUAGCAGUUGAACUGUCCGUCAGUCAGUCAGUCAGUCAGUCAGUCAGUCAGUCAGUCAGUCAGUCAGUCAGUCAGUCUGUCUGUCUGUCUGUCUGUCUGUCUGUCGGUCGGUCUGUCUGUCUGUCUGUCUGUCUGUCUGUCUGUCUGUCUGUCUGUCUGUCUGUCUGUCUGUCUGUCUGUCUGUCUGUCUGUCUGUCUGUCUGUCUGUCUGUCUGUCUGUCUGUCUGUCUGUCUGUCUGUCUGUCUGUCUGUCUGUCUGUCUGUCUGUCUGUCUGUCUGUCUGUCUGUCUGUCUGUCUGUCUGUCUGUCUGUCUGUCUGUCUGUCUGUCUGUCUGUCUGUCUGUCUGUCUGUCUGUCUGUCUGUCUGUCUGUCUGUCUGUCUGUCUGUCUGUUUGUCUGUCGUCUGUCUGUCUGUCUGUCUGUCUGUCUGUCCGUCCGAAAACUUUAAUGGCCAUAACAUUUUCAAUAAUGAACAUAGGUCAAAUGUCAAAUAUAUGGCGUCUGUUCGUCCGUCCGAAAACUUUUAACAUUGGCCAUUACUUUUUCAAUAUUGAAGAUAGCAACUUGAUAUUUGGCAUGCAUGUGUAUCUCAUUGAGUUGAACAUUUUAAGUGGUGAAAGGUGAAGGUCAAGGUCAUCCUUCACGGU